rnacentral:rRNA from 1 species
GAGGGAUCAUUACAAGUGACCCCGGUCUAACCACCGGGAUGUUCAUAACCCUUUGUUGUCCGACUCUGUUGCCUCCGGGGCGACCCUGCCUUCGGGCGGGGGCUCCGGGUGGACACUUCAAACUCUUGCGUAACUUUGCAGUCUGAGUAAACUUAAUUAAUAAAUUAAAACUUUUAACAACGGAUCUCUUGGUUCUGGCAUCGAUGAAGAACGCAGCGAAAUGCGAUAAGUAAUGUGAAUUGCAGAAUUCAGUGAAUCAUCGAAUCUUUGAACGCACAUUGCGCCCCCUGGUAUUCCGGGGGGCAUGCCUGUUCGAGCGUCAUUUCACCACUCAAGCCUCGCUUGGUAUUGGGCAACGCGGUCCGCCGCGUGCCUCAAAUCGACCGGCUGGGUCUUCUGUCCCCUAAGCGUUGUGGAAACUAUUCGCUAAAGGGUGUUCGGGAGGCUACGCCGUAAAACAACCCCAUUUCUAAGGUUGACCUCGGAUCAGGUAGGGAUACCCGCUGAACUUAAGCAUAUCAAUAAG